UUUUUGUUUUUUCCGUGUUCAACGUUUGACCAUUCAUCUUAUUUGAAAAAUUUGUACAAAAACAUAAAAAAAUUAGUCACGUAUAAAGUACUAUUCAUAUUUUAAUUUUAUCAUUUAGUAACAAUAAAAAUAUUAAUCGCAAAAAAAAAUCAAAUAAGACGAAUGAUCAAACGUUGGACAAGGAAAAAUGAUGUUAUUAUG
rnacentral:pre_miRNA from 1 species